UGGGGAAUCUUCCGCAAUGGACGAAAGUCUGACGGAGCAACGCCGUGUGAGUGAAGAAGGUUUUCGGAUCGUAAAACUCUGUCUUUUGGGGCGAACGUGAGUAUGGUGAACAAUCAUAGUCAGUGACGGUACCAAAGGAGGAAGCCACGGCUAACUACGUGCCAGCAGCCGCGGUAAUACGUAGGUGGCAAGCGUUGUCCGGAAUUAUUGGGCGUAAAGAGCGCGUAGGCGGGAUAGUCAGUCUGUUGUAAAGUGCGGGGCUCAACCCCGUGAUGGCAAUGGAAACAGCUAUUCUUGAGUGCAGGAGAGGAAAGUGGAAUUCCCAGUGUAGCGGUGAAAUGCGUAGAUAUUGGGAGGAACACCAGUGGCGAAGGCGACUUUCUGGACUGUGUCUGACGCUGAGGCGCGAAAGCCAGGGGAGCGAACGGGAUUAGAUACCCCCGGUAGUCCUGGCCGUAAACGAUGGGUACUAGGUGUGGGGGGUAUCGACCCCUUCCGUGCCGGAGUUAACGCAAUAAGUA
rnacentral:rRNA from 1 species